rnacentral:rRNA from 1 species
UACGGGGGGAGCAAGCGUUGUUCGGAUUUACUGGGCGUAAAGGGCGCGUAGGCGGCCACCGCAAGUCGGCUGUGAAAUCUCCGGGCUUAACCCGGAAAGGUCAGCCGAUACUGCGGGGCUAGAGUGCAGAAGGGGCAACUGGAAUUCUCGGUGUAGCGGUGAAAUGCGUAGAUAUCGAGAGGAACACCUGCGGCGAAGGCGGGUUGCUGGGCUGACACUGACGCUGAUGCACGAAAGCGUGGGGAGCAAACAGG